rnacentral:lncRNA from 10 species
CAUUUAUUUAUUUAUCUAUUUAUUUGUUUGAUAGAGAUGAAGUCUCCCUAUGUUGCUCAGGCUGAUCUCAAACUCUUGGGCUCAAGCAAUCCUCCCACCUUGGCCUUCCAAAAUGCUGGGAUUACAGGCAUGAGCCACCACGCCCUGCUCAUGUUCCUUUUAAACUUCCAUUUCCCUGAUGACCAGUAAGGAGGGCAUCUUUGCAUGUAUACAUCCUUUUUAUUUCCUUUUCGACUUUCCUAUUCAAACACUUUGCCCAGUUUUCUAUUUUGUCUGUCUUUUCUUAUUGAUUUACAGGAGCUGUUUCUAUUGCCCAGACAUUGAUCUCUUCUUAUACACGGGGCAAAUAUUUCUCUUGAUUUGUCAUUUACGUCUUAACACUAUUCUGUCUCUUAUUACAAAAAAAGUUCUUAAUUGAUAUGUGGUCAAAUGUAGCUGACUUAAUUCUUUAGGGCCAUUGUGCUUUAUUUUUUUUUUCUAAAUUAAAAUUAAAAUUUGCUCAGAUCUCCAAUCUUAUCUCUCUUGGGGAGAGACCCCCUGAAUUGUCCCCCACACAGUGGGAAAGGGACUUAGUUCAACCUUCCCAGCCAGUGAGCCAGCACCUGUGUCCAAGGAACCCUUGCGGCCAUCACUCCUCCCAGCCACCAGCAGCACCGCAUGGAAACUUGGUCCUGCCAGCUGCAGCAGGGCCCUCUGCCAGGCCAUCGUGGUCCCCUGAGGGAUCAUCCCACUACCUCCAUGCCAAGCUCAGAUAAGGGUGCACCUGGUCUCUUUGCCUGGCAGCUCUGCCUGCGUGGCCCCUGGCCGUGGGUGGUCCUGGCUGGGUGGAGGCUGGCGCCACCAUUCUCUCAAUGAUAAGACUUCUGUUCCCUCUUCUCCUCUGGGUUGGCUCAGGGGCCUGGCAGCUUUUCCUUUUCAGCCCACAAAAUACUUUAAUUACACUCUAAUUACACUCCCAUUCCCUGCCCACACUGCUGUCCCCACCCAGGCAUGGCUUUUCUCCAUGCUUCCCUGCCCACCCCGUUCAAAGGGUGGCUGUGUUUCCCACGAGCUGAGAAGAAUACAAAUCCUCCAGCAGCAACCUCACCCCUUACCAACCCCUUGUACCCUGACAGCCUAAGCAUAUGGUGUUGCAGCUAUUAGGGGGACCCCAUUCUCGUUUUUCAUUCCCAGGCAACCCCAGAGUCCAAGAUGCAGGUUGCUUCUGGGGUCUGCUUUCUCGAGAACCCUGACCCACCCCUGUUCCUCCAGUGACCCCUCACUCUCCUAGGACUGUGGGGGCCUGCCCUGCAGCAACGUUGUAAGGAAGGCCACAUUCAGGAAAUCCAAGGUCAUUUUCUGCCUAUUACGCUUCUUGUUAAAUAAAAUACAACUUAAUUCCUUACAGGGCCCUCCUUCUGGGAGAGCACCCACUGCUCAUCUGAAUUCUAGAGAACCACUCAAGUGCAUAUAGACGGCAUCCAUCCUAAGAAGGAAAGUGCUCUCUAAGAAGCCACUAUGCCUGAAAUGCCACCAUAUGUAUACACCAUUCCACUAUGGAAAACAUUGCCUUUUCGGGGCUCUUCCUGUGAAAUGCAGGCCAUGAGCUCUUGCUGGACAUACCAGAACAAAGACAUAGUCUCUUCAAGAUGGCAUUCACAGCCAUAGGGCAGGACGACAGGUGGGCGACAACCAUAGCCAGCAGAAGAGCAGACACUGGAACAGAGGUUCAAACCAACAACUAUGGAGCGAGCUGAGCCUUUUAUUGAAGCGUAAUACAUAUACAGAAAAAUUCACCUAUCAUAAGUAUGCAUCUUGGUAAAUUUUCACAAGGAAUAUACCCAUGGAACCAACAUCCAGAUCAAAAUCUGUCAGGCGUCUAGCACCCAGAAGCCCCUGCGGGUCCCUGCCAGUUACUAUGUGCCCCCAAGGCUGACCACUGUCCUGUCUUCUGGUACCACAGGUUUGUUUUGCCUGUUUUUUGAACUUUAUAAAUGCAAGUGUACAGUAUGAACUGUGUCGUGUUCUGUUGUUCAACAGGACGUCUGUGAGAUUUCUCAAUAUUGCAGCUAUCUCCGUAGCUUGUAGCACUCCAUUGUGUGAAUCCGCCACUGUCUGUUGAUGGGCACUGGGUGGUCUCCAGUUCUUGGCUAUUAUGCAUAGUGCUCUGAAUAUCCUUGCAUGCGUCUUUGGUACACAUGCCUGUUGGGUAUAUUCCCAGGAGUAGACUUGGUGGGUUGGAGAGCAUGCGCAUGUUCAACUUGAAUAUGUGACGCCAAAUCAUUUUCUCAAGUGUUUGUAGAUGGAGGGUUUUGAGCAAGGAGGUGGCAGGAGCAGGCCUGGGUCUCGGCCGUCCCUCUCUGCACAGGCUGAGUGUGAAGGGCAUAGGGACAUCCCAGUGGAGCUGUCCUAAGGCUAGAGAGCAGUGGGUCUGGAGCUGGGGAGCUGGGGAGCUAGGCAGCAAGGCUCUGGGCUGAAGAAGGUGGAGAGGGUGUGGAGUGAGGAAGGUAGGGACCAGGGCCAGGCCAUGGAUACAGCCAUAAUGAGGAUGCCACGGAGACAGAGGAGCCCUCAGAGGCAACUGAGGAGGUGCAGCCUAGAGAAGAGGGAAGACCCGGCAAGAGGAAAGGAAGCAAAUCACAUGGGUGCCAAGGGGAGCAUCUGAGGCAGAGGCAGGCAUAGAGCACCAGAGGCACUAAGAGGGCCAGUUAGUCAAGACUGAGCAGGAUGUGUCCACCAGACUUGAUAAGGGAGCUGUGGGGACCUUAAGGAAGUCAUGGUCAAUGGGGUUGGUGUGUGUGCCAG